rnacentral:rRNA from 1 species
GCCACUGCUAUUGGGGUCCGGCUAAGCCAUGCGAGUGGAGGGCGUCCCGCAAGGGAUGGCCCCGCAGACGGCUCAGUAACACGUCGUCAACCCACCUUAGGGUGGGGGACAACCUCGGGAAACUGAGGAUAAUCUCCCAUAGGCGGGGGAGGCUGGAAUGCGCCCCCGCUGAAAGCUCAGGCGCCCUAGGACGGGACGGCGGCCUAUCAGGUAGUUGGUGGUGUGACG